CUGACAGUGACUCUGGUCUCAAGUUCAUUUUGCUCAGAACACAAUAAUGAUCUCAGCUGGUCUGAUCAAAGUCUCUGCAGCUCUGCUCUGUGUUGUAGGUCUAAGUGAUGGGAAUGAUGUCAAUCAGACUCCUCUGCUGUGGAGCACUGAGGGUCAGUCUGCGACAAUGAACUGCAGUCACACUAAGGAUGCUACUUUUUACCAGAUGUACUGGUACAGACAGCUGCCUGGAGAAACAAUGAAACUAAUUGUGUUCACAACAACAACCACACCAAAUCACGACUUUGGAGAUUUCAGCAAAGACAAAUUCUCAGCCACUAAGCCUGAUGUUGAGACCGGGACAUUCACAGUGAAGAAUCUGGUGCCAGAGGAUAAAGGCUUGUAUUUCUGUGCCGUGAGUAAACACAGUGAUACAGACACAUGUGAGAGCUGAACAAAAACCUCAGU